rnacentral:lncRNA from 1 species
AUACCAAAGCAAAGAAAGUCCGCUGCUUUUCGUUACUUCACUGUAUGGGUGACAAAGUAUCUUCUCGGGUUUAUUUGGAAUCCAAGAUACAUAUGUGAUGAAAGCAGGUGGUACAAUCUACUUAUCAGCAUUGGGCACACCAGUGUUCAAGGUUUUGGAAGGAAAAAUCCAAUCAAAGUCCUUUCAGAUGACCAUGCAUUAAAUUAUUUGCUGGUAAGUGAAGAUAUUUUCAACAAAAGAAUUAUUUUGCUUACGAUCCUUGCUUUUUUUUUCCUUUGAUACAAUUCUCUAGA